rnacentral:rRNA from 1 species
GACGUAGGGCGCGAGCGUUGUCCGGAUUUAUUGGGCGUAAAGAGCUCGUAGGCGGUCUGUCGCGUCUGCUAUGAAAACCCGGGGCUCAACCCCGGGCUUGCAGUGGAUACGGGCAGACUAGAGUUCGGUAGGGGAGACUGGAAUUCCUGGUGUAGCGGCGAAAUGCGCAGAUAUCAGGAGGAACACCGGUGGCGAAGGCGGGUCUCUGGGCCGAUACUGACGCUGAGGAGCGAAAGCGUGGGGAGCGAACAGG